rnacentral:rRNA from 1 species
GACGAAGGGGGCUAGGCGUUGUUCGGAAUUACUGGGCGUAAAGCGCGUGUAGGCGGUUGUCCAAGUUGGAUGUGAAAGCCUUGAGCUCAACAUCAAGAAAAUUGCAAUUCAGGACUGGGCGACUAGAGGACCGGAGAGGAUAGUGGAAUUCCCAGUGUAGUGGUGAAAUACGUAGAGAUUGGGAAGAACACCAGUGGCGAAGGCGACUCGCUGGACAGGUAUUGACGCUGAGGUGCGAAAGCGUGGGGAGCAAACAGG